rnacentral:rRNA from 1 species
UGGGUAAUCUACCCUCGGUUUCGGGAUAGCCCGGGGAAACCCGGAUUAAUACCGAAUGGCCUCUCAGGCUCUCGGGCUUGAGAGAAAAGGUAGCUUCGGCCUCUGACCGAGGAUGAGCCCGCGGCCGAUUAGCUAGUUGGUGGGGUAAUGGCCCACCAAGGCAACGAUCGGUAGCUGGUCUGAGAGGAUGAUCAGCCACACUGGGACUGAGACACGGCCCAGACUCCUACGGGAG